UGUAGCUCAGCUGGUUAGAGCAGGAGCACCGCAAGGUGCAUUUCACUUGUCGCUUUUUACCCUUUUUUAAGAAAUUAAAAUAUUAAGGUGCCGUAAAUAUGUGCUACUUCGGGUCGCCGGUUCGAUUCCGGCUGUUGGA
rnacentral:tRNA from 1 species